UAUCUACUCCCUCCGUCUGAAAAUACUUGUCAUCAAAAUGAAUAAAAAAAGGAUGUAUUUAGAACUAAAAUAUGUCUAGAUACAUCCCCUUUUAUUCAUUUUGAUGACAAGUAUUUCCGGACAGAGGAAGUAUCAU
rfam:Triticum aestivum genome assembly, contig: Triticum_aestivum_CS42_TGACv1_scaffold_220621_3B